ACCAAUCCCAGGAUUCACUCAACAAAAGGCCUUACUCCUUAAGAGACCAAUCCCUUAAGUUCAAAGAGAUUUCUGGUGUUGUUUUCGUCUUAGAGAAAGAACCCCGAGGGACUGUUUUCGUUACUCGUGGAAGAAUACAUGUAAAACUACUUUCCCAAGAGGCUCCUCGAAGCUUUGACUUUCCCAGAAGCGCUUGCUGGGAAGUAUAACCGGUCAGCUGUAGUGUCUCAGGGCACGCCGGGAGUUGUAGUCCGCUGGCUAAAUUAAGUCAACAUGAAAGAUUGCCUUUUGGGAAUUGUAGUUUGAAUGAGCAGAUACAAAACGCUUCGCAGUUAAGUCUCAAAAGCAAGUUUGACUCCCCUUAAGAAGGGAAAGAACUCUCAAAAAAAAAAAAAGGAAGGGGGACCCAGAAGAGGAGAGAGGACAAGAAUCAAGAAAGACACCAAGUCUAGGAUGCAAAUGAAAACCCUGGGAAAGAGGACAGAGUUGGUAUUGCACUUUAUUCUUUUUUUCUUUUUUUGUUUUGUCCAUCAUAAUGUCUGAUUAAAAAUAUAUAUAUAUAUAAUAUGUACACAAGGAAAGAAGCUGCUAGGAGUGUUACAAAAAUCCCUCCACAGCUUGGAGACAAGACAUGGAAAAAAAAACCCAAAAGUUUGGAAAAGUAUCUGUUUAGAAAGGGUUUUGUUGUUGUUUUUGAAUUUGUUAGAAAACACCUCUUUCUUCCACAUAAAGUUUCAGGGUUUUUUUUCCCCCUUUUUUUCCUUCUUUUUUUUUUUAAUUUUAAUUUUUUACAAAAGGAGCCGGGAGGAGGGGUAAGCACAUUUGAGGUCCCAGAGCCAAGGAGACUCUGGGGAAGUAGGGUUUUGUCCUUAAGACCCUGGUUAAAGUGCAGUGAUGAUCUGGAAAAUGAUGGAGUCCCCUUCUUCCCCUACUUAAGAAUCUUAUCUUGCUCCCAGCCCCCACGUCUCCACUCUCCUGGGCAUAGCAAUAGCCUCAGAACAUGAUAUUUUUGUUUGUUUUCUUUUGAAUUUUUAGGGGUAAGAGGACCACAGGUUUGCCAGAGUAGAAUGGGGAAAGGAUGUGGGUAGGACCGUAAGGCUCUGAUCUCCCUGGAAGGAAUAGUCCCUAUGGGGAGUCACUAUCACAAGCAGAAUACUGUAGUAGUUCCCAGUUAAGAAAGGGGAGGAAGUAGAAAGGGGCUCAAUGUCCAAAUCUGCUCUGCAAAAGUAGAGUAGGGAGGUAGGAGAACAGUGUCCUGCUAGAAAUAAAUUUCCCUUACAGAUCCUUCCAUCCUUCUCCUCUACUCCUGUCUUUGUUCCCCUACCUCCCACCUCCCUGACCUUGGCAGCAUCUGUUUAUUGCUACAUUGUCCAGGAGGAACAGAUAUUUCCUUCACAAUGAUGCUCCACUCUACACCUCUCUGGGUCUUAUCAAGGAGACCUCAAGGUAGAAGAGGAGAAAACUGUUUUAGGAUCUCUUCCCCACAUGGGGAUGAGACAGAUUCCUCUCAAAGGCCCAAGCACCACAAUCCUGGGUUCUGUUCCCCCAGCCAACCCUGCAGCAUCCUUCCCUGGGGACCACAAGAGAUCCCUGAAGAAGGAGAAAAGGGAGAAGAGGCAGAAGAGGCAGAAGAGGCAAUGAGGAAAGGUUGUGGAAAGAAGAGUGGGAGUUGGAGGAGAAAGGUGAGAGGAAAGAGAGAAGGACCAAGUGUUGCAACUUGUGAGGUGGUUGUGUUAUAUUUUUUUUUGUUUUUUGUUUUUUUUGUUUUUUGUUUUGUUUUGUUUUUGUUUUUCUUUAACAUAGAAAAAAAAAAAACA